rnacentral:rRNA from 1 species
GACGAACCGUGCGAACGUUGUUCGGAUUCACUGGGCUUAAAGGGCGCGUAGGCGGCUUGCCAAGUCAGGGGUGAAAUCUUUCGGCUUAACCGGAAAAGUGCUUCUGAUACUGGCGGGCUGGAGGGAGGUAGGGGCGGACGGAACUUCCGGUGGAGCGGUGAAAUGCGUAGAUAUCGGAAGGAACGCCGGUGGCGAAAGCGGUCCGCUGGACCUCUACUGACGCUGAGGCGCGAAAGCCAGGGGAGCAAACGGG